rnacentral:lncRNA from 13 species
CUCAAACUCUCCACCUCAAGUGAUCCACCUGCCGCGGCCUCCCGAAGUGCUGGGAUUACAGGCAUGAGCCAUUACACCUAGCUUUUUUAAGAGUUAAUAUAAUAAAGAUUAUAAUAUAGAAAUUCUAUGGAGCUAAGUUUUAUCCCCUUGAUCUGUCUUGUAAGUACUUGUUCUGCCUUUGAGGACUGGUAACAAUUCUUGUUUUCUUUCAUUCCUGAAGAAUACAUAUAUUUAUCUUGCCAUCUCUCUCUGCAUCCUUUCAUUUCCUUGACCUCAGCAAUCUACCUUUUUGAGUUACAAUCAAUCAAUUUACAGUUGACCCAUGAACAACACAGGGGUUAAGGUUGCUGACCUCCUGCACAGUUAAAAAUUCACACAGAACUUCUGACUCCCCCAAAACUUAACUACUAAUAGCCUGCUGUUGACUAGUCGCUUUACUGAUAACAUACAGUUGGUUAACAGAAAUGUUAUGUGUUAUAUGUAUUAUAUACUCUAUUCUUAUAAACAGUAAACUUGAGAAAAGAAAAUGUUAUUCAGAAAAUUAUAAGGAAGAGAAAACAUAUUUAGUAUUCAUUAAGUAGAAAAAUGGAUCCAAAUCUACAUCCUCAGCAUCUUCAUGUUGAGCAGACUGAAGAGGAAGAAGAGGAUGGGUUGGUCUUGUGAUCUCAUGAGUGGCAGAGGCAGAAGGAAAUCUGGGUAUAAGUGGACAAGCACAGUUCAAACCGAUGUUGUUCAAGGGUCAACUGUGUAAUAAUACAAGUUCAGUCUGUGGCUGAGGGCCCCUCCUUCCUUUGUUUGUCAAGUUCUAUUCAAAGUUCUCUAGAAUAGGAACAGGGCUCCUUCCUUAUUCACCAGGAAAGCCAUGGAAAAAAGUAGUUCCUGGAACAUGUCUUGACCAUCUUUAUGGAGCAGAUGCUCUAUCAAUGUACCCAGAUUGAGAUGACAGCUUGGCAUGGCAGGACUUCCAGGUGCUGGAGUACAGUGGCGCGAUCUUGGCUCACAGCAACCUCUGCCUCUCAAGUAGCUGGGACUACAG